UACGUAGGUGGCGAACGUUAUCCGGAAUUAUUGGGCGUAAAGGGUGCGUAGGCGGCAUGAUAAGUUAUUGGCGGCAAAUCGAGGCUCAACCUCGUGGAAACUGAUAAUACUGUCUUGCUUGAGUGCAGAAGAGGUUAACGGAACUCCAUGUGGAGCGGUAAAAUGUGUAGAUAUAUGGAAGAACAUCAAUAACGGCGAAGGCAGUUAACUAUUCUGUUACUGACGUUGAGGCACGAAAGCGUGGGGAGCAAAAAGG
rnacentral:rRNA from 1 species